rnacentral:rRNA from 1 species
GAGUUUGAUCAUGGCUCAGAUUGAACGCUGGCGGCAUGCCUUACACAUGCAAGUCGAACGGUAACAGGUUAAGCUGACGAGUGGCGAACGGGUGAGUAAUACAUCGGAACGUGCCCGAUCGUGGGGGAUAACGCAGCGAAAGCUGUGCUAAUACCGCAUACGAUCUACGGAUGAAAGCAGGGGAUCGCAAGACCUUGCGCGGACGGAGCGGCCGAUGGCAGAUUAGGUAGUUGGUGAGGUAAAGGCUCACCAAGCCUUCGAUCUGUAGCUGGUCUGAGAGGACGACCAGCCACACUGGGACUGAGACACGGCCCAGACUCCUACGGGAGGCAGCAGUGGGGAAUUUUGGACAAUGGGCGCAAGCCUGAUCCAGCCAUGCCGCGUGCAGGAUGAAGGCCUUCGGGUUGUAAACUGCUUUUGUACGGAACGAAAAGGUUCUCCCUAAUACAGGGGGCUCAUGACGGUACCGUAAGAAUAAGCACCGGCUAACUACGUGCCAGCAGCCGCGGUAAUACG